UGGUCUUAUAAGAUGUAGAGGCGUACAUCCAAAGCCUACAAUUGAAGCAGAGUUGAGGAAGCAUUCCAACAGAGAGCUGGAUCAAAUUAGGGAUUUUCUCACACAUUUAAAACCCUAAUCAGCAUAUCAUGCUAAUGGAAAUAGUACACCCAACUCACGAUACCUGCCUUCAUUGAUCUUCAAUUACCUCUGUCUAUUUCUGAAGCGUUUAGGAAACAUCGAACAGCCCUCGCGUUCUUCAAUUCACGGUACCUGUUUACAUCGAACAAUCACCGUCGGCGGCUUCGUCAUCGGAAGCGUUUAGAAUCCAAUGAAACUUAUAUUCAGGACAUGGAUUCAGGUUUAUCAUCUUAUUUUUGAGACAAGUCAUCCGAUUUAAUGCAGAUAGCGUCUUCUUCUUGAAGUGCAUUUCGUCGAACAACUUCAGAUAUGGAAUCUGAGGUCUCAAGUGAAGUUUACCAUUCUCUGCACUUGCGUAAGAGCUCUAAGCCACCUAUUAGUUGAAAAGGCAAAUUUGUUGUUGUAGAUCUUGCAGGCUCUGAGCGUGCUCACAAGUCAGGAAGUGAGGGACUCACAUUAGAGGAAGCUAAAUCUUGAAAAAAUCUUCCAUUAAGUGCAGAAAUGCUCUUGGAAGUAAUAGUCCUCAUGUACCAUAGAUGAUAGUCUUUCAGCAAGAAACUUGGAGGUUUCGUGCAUACAUAAAAAUAUAAGCAUCUAUUCUUAAUAUGCUUACUAAAAUAUAAUUUCAUAUGGUUUAAUGCAUAACAUGAGUUCUAAAAAUUGUCUUAUUAUAAAUGUAGAUAAAUGUAGUUAUUUGACGACUUGCUUCUACAACACAGGAGUUGGCUCAUUUCCACUCCGGGAAUGAAGAUGACAUGUAUUUGGCUUACUCUUGACUUUCGUCCAUAUUAGCUUGCUGACUCGUCAUGUAUGAAAGAGUUAAAUCUUGACAAUGGGAGUAAAUCUCGAAGCGUUUUGUCAAUGGAUGGCUUAGCUUGUACAUAAGUGGCGACUAACCAAACCUGUUUGAUUUGUUUUGUACAUGUAUGGUGGGUGCAUGAGUUCAGCAAGGCUUGCUGAUUGAAAGUGACACAUGAGUAAUCAUAAUGCAGAACACCCACCUACUAUUUUUUGUUUAGGUGUAAAGAUGGAAGCCACGAUAUAACGCGUAGAGAGCAUGCGUGUUCAUGAAACAUUCCACACAUAUUCGCUUUUGUUUGGCGUACAUUGUUACUUGGUGCUUCAGUCCUAGAUCUUGGCCGAAACUCAAAGAUUUUGUUGGAGAUAGUUGGUUUGUUUGGGGAUUCUCGAUGUUCUUGCUUAGAUUAUUCCUAUGAGUAUUGAUUCAUGUUUCAUAAAUACUUGCUCGUGUAUAUAAUACGCACCAAAAUGUUGUAUAUCUUUCCGGUCGUCAUGUUAAGGAAUCAUGGUUAAGUCUAUUGAUAUUGAAGCUGCUUAUCUCCCAUCAAUGCGCUUAUAUUCUUGGUUAAAGGUGAAGUGACUUAAGUGCUUCCUUAAAAAGUUGAUGACUGUUUCGUUUGUCAAAAGCAUACAUCUCUGUUUCUGUAAAUAGCAACUAGAAGGUAGGGGUUUCACUUCUACAGCAAUAAAUGCUUUUGUUAGAGGAAUUGAGAUUACCAGAAGUGAUGGUAGUAUGAUACGUUUGGAGCGCCUUGAAUAUCAUGUACGAGAAGAACUUAAUAAAACAGCUUCUUGUGCGAUGGUUGUGCUACAUCCACUAAAGUUAUUACCAAUCUUGAACCAAGUUCAAUAAUAGAUCUUGAUGCAAAGAAAUGGCCAGAUGCCCCUGUUGAUGAUGCAUCUUCAUACUACAAGAUGUAGUCACCGGCAACCGGGAGACAAACAUGUAGUGUGUCACUUUGAAGAGGGAAGAGUAGAGGUCAAGCACUGAUAUUUGAUUGUUUAAAUUACAAAACUACCCCUGAGAAGCCUUUUAUGUUUUGUUAUUACUAGGGCAAUACUAAAUAAAUAUUACUUGGACAGAUAUAUAUGAAAGUCUGAGAUUUGGUUGUCGAGUUAAGAAAUCAAAAGUAUUGUAAAUAUUUCAAAUGUAACUUCGUUAAGUGCGUCAUUCAGUCAUUUAUAUAUGAUUUAUUUUAUUUAUGGAAUUUGAUAUGUGAAAAUUCUGGGCAAUAAGAUUUGUGUUAAUUAGGCAAAUAUUUAUUCCUUAAUCAAUUACAAAACGAAUAUCGAUAUCGAUGUCGUUCGAUGGGUAUCAGUUUGGUUUAUCACAGUACCAUAUCGCGUUGCGGUGGCAACAACGUUUUACGAGUACUUAAUAAGUAUAUUUUUUUUACCAUGCAACGCGAUGCGUCGGCAACAACGUGUUUACGACUAUGUUACACGCGUUACGAUGAUGACGUUAACAUCUAAUGGUCGUGCAUAACAUGACUUUUGACACAUGUUACAUCGGUAUCAUUAAUAUGGUAGAAUAAUUAUUAGUUUUCUGUUUUAUUAUUAUUAUUAUUUUUUUGCAAAUAAUUACACUUAGUGGUUCACAUCAAUCAAUGAUAGAACAAGUAUGAAAGACCGGGGAUUGGAGCUAUUUUUAAGUUUUUGACUUCUUAAAAGUUAAUUGUAGUGUUUGGAUAAUGUGUUUUGAGAAUGAGUUUUAGUGGUUUGAAAAGAAGAAAAAGAAAAGUUAGAUGGUUGUAAUUUUUUCAAAUAGGAGAUGG
rnacentral:lncRNA from 1 species